rnacentral:lncRNA from 1 species
AACACGCAGGGCGGUCACGGCGGCCUGCCCAGGGCGCAGCGGGGUCGACCUUUGUGCGGGGCGGGUCCCUGGCAGCCUCGGCCCGGACUCGCCGCCAACGAGGAGCCGAGCGCCCUGGAGAACGCGUCGGGGCUGAGCCGGGGUCCAGCAGCCGCCGCUAUGGACAUCCCGCCGCUGGCCGGCAAGAUCGCGGCGCUGUCGCUGAGCGCCCUCCCGGUGUCCUACGCGCUCAACCACGUCUCGGCGCUCUCGCAGGAGAGCCAUACCUGCGCACAGCGCACGGAGUCUUCAUCUGCUACUGGGAUGGCACUGUUCACUACCUCCUCUACCUGGCCAUGGCCGGCGCCAUCUGCAGAAGGAAGAGAUACCGGAAUUUUGGACUCUACUGGCUGGGUUCCUUCGCCAUGAGCAUCCUGGUGUUCCUUACAGGAAACAUUCUUGAUGUCCAGCAGGGUUCUGGCAUGGCUGAUGCCCUCUCUCCUGCACCAUGGAAGGCAAAUACAGCUCCGAGAUCAGGCCUGCCUUCUUCCUCACCAUCCCCUACCUGCUGGUGCCAUGCUGGGCUGGCAUGAAGGUCUUCAGCCAGCCCCGGGCGCUAACCCGCUGCACCGCCAACAUGGUGCAAGAGGAACAAAGAAAGGGACUCCUGCAGCGUCCGGCUGACCUGGCCCUUGUCAUAUAUCUCAUCCUUGCUGGCUUCUUCACUCUGUUCCGGGGCCUGGUGGUGCUUGAUUGCCCCACAGAUGCCUGCUUUGUCUAUAUCUACCAGUAUGAGCCAUACCUGCGGGACCCUGUGGCCUACCCUAAGGUGCAGAUGCUGAUGUACAUGUUUUAUGUCCUGCCUUUCUGCGGCCUGGCUGCCUAUGCUCUCACCUUCCCUGGUUGCUCCUGGCUUCCAGACUGGGCCUUGGUGUUUGCUGGAGGCAUCGGCCAGGCACAGUUCUCGCACAUGGGGGCUUCCAUGCACCUGCGCACACCCUUCACCUACCGUGUGCCUGAGGACACCUGGGGCUGCUUCUUCGUGUGCAAUCUGCUGUAUGCGCUGGGCCCCCACCUGCUGGCCUACCGUUGCCUUCAGUGGCCCGCAUUCUUCCACCAGCCACCACCCUCCGACCCCCUAGCCCUCCACAAGAAGCAGCAUUGAGAGAGCUGUGGACUCAGGACCCAGGACUCUGUUUACGUGCCCAGUCAGCCCUACCUGGGGAAGCGGGGGUUGGGUGUUUUAGAGACAGGAGGGACAUCUCCGGGUGUCUUUAGUCUUGGCUAUGGUAGUUUCAGUCCAGUGGGUGGGAUGGAGACCAACGACCAAGUGUUCCUGCAAGGAGAGCCUCCCACAGCUGUCACCAUGCUCCAACUCCCACACAAACGCUUCUACCCCUUCCAGAACUUACCCAUCAUCCCCCCAUGGAUCCUUUCAGUAAAAACCCUUUCAAUUUCCAAAAUAUCACUGCCUAAGUGUUUCAGGGUGCAGGGGCAAGGGAUCCUCUUCUUGGCCCCCAUGAGGGCCCACCUAUCACUGCCAUCGUGGUUGCCAGGAGUGAGAGGUGCUGGGAUAGCAGAAGGCGGCCUCUGGUUGGUAUGCACGGCUCAUCUUCCAGAUGGGAAAACCGAGGCUCAGUAUGGACAAGAGACCUGCCCAAGGUCAUGGCCAGAGAGAAAAGUUCCUGCUCUACCAAUAAAUCAUAACUAAUAGCAUGAUACAUUUAUUAAGCACCUACUGUAUACCUUGACUGCUACAUGCUGGAUCUCACUCCAUAUUCCAGAUGGGGAAACCAAGGCUGCAGGAGGUGAAGGUCCUGGUCUGAGAUCAUUCCCCCGCUCAGUCCCCAAGGCAUGGCUGAGCUAAGAGAUGGAGCCCCAGCCUGUUGGACCACAGAAACCACAACUCUGCCUCUCCUAUCUGGUCGGGUUGGGCUCAUUUUAGGGGAAACUGAGUCCUGGAAGGAAGCCAAGGUGUUAGGAGAAAGACUCACUGUUUGCUAUUGUUUGAUUUUUUGAAAUUGGGUGAAAGGCCAGGUUUAGGGGCGACUUGGGCCUGGAGUAAGUCAGGGACCUUGACCAGAUGUCCCUUUUCCUUUUCUUUCUUUCUUUUUCUUUUUCUUUUUUUUUUUUUUUUUUGAGACGGAGUUUUCACUCUUGUUGCCCCGGCUGAUAUGCAAUGGCACGAUCUUGGCUCACCACAACCUCCACCUCCUGGGUUCAAGCAAUUCUCCUGCCUCAGCCCCCUGAGUAGCUGGGAUUACAGGCAUGUGCCACCACACCUGGCUAAUUUUGUAUUUUUAGUAGAGACAGAGUUUCUCCAUGUUGGUCAGGUUGGCCUCGCACUCCUGACCUCAGGUGAUCCUCCCAUCUUGGCCUCACAAAGUGCUGGGAUUACAGACGUGAGCCACCGCGCCCGGCCUAGAUGUCCCUUUUUCUUGCCCCUCCCAACCCCUACCGGAGAUCUACUGUAUGUCUAGCUACUGGAUCUUCACCAAAGAGUCAGCAGCAGGCUCAGAGAGGCCAACUGUCUCCUCCAAGGUCUCACAGCCAGUGAGGGGCAGACUUGAAUUGGGGCCUGUGGCUCCAGUCCACAGCAGAGUGUGACUAUCGUGAGGCCCCCACCCUGCACAGGGAGCGCCUUUGGGGUGCUGGAGACCAGGACUCCACUAUGACUACCCAAUGGACAGGUGGCCUGCAGGCCAAAUGAUCUCUUUCACCAGAUCCCCCAGGUCCCCUGCCAAAGCACAGUAACCAAGAUAGAAGACUCAGCCCCCUCCUCCAUUUCAAAGAUGGUUAAACUGAGGCUCAGAGAGGUUCUUCCCUGGCCUAAGUUCAGCUAGCAGGGUGAGGGAACUAGCUCUGCACUCCAAGUCCAGAGCGCUUCUUUCUCCGCCCGCGCUCCAGCCACUGCUCCAGGGGAGCGUGGGCCCCCGCGGCCCCUUUAAUACACCCCGCCUCGCCCGCCUUCCUCCUCCCCUUGCAGGCAGACGCCGGGAUUGCGCCGCCUGCAGGGACCUGCCCAGUCUUAACCGGGUGUGCGGGGAGCGCAGUCCGGGUGCGUAGGGGCCGCUCGGCGGGGGCCGCGCGGGCAAGAUGGUAAGUGGGGCUGCGGGCGCGGGUGGUGUGUGCCCCGUCUCCCCAAUCUUGGAUUCUAUAUCUCUCUGCCUCUGAAUCUAUAUCCCUCUGAGUUUCUUCUGUCUCUUCCUUUUCUCUGUCUCUCACCCUCUUUGAUCUCUCUUUUUGGCACUCUAGGUUCUCUCCCUCUCCAUUUCUCCCUGCCUCUCUCCAUCUCUGUCAUCCUCUCUGCCUUUUUCCUCUCCUCUCCGUUUCUGUCUUUCCCUGUCCCUAUCUCUCCCUCCUCUUCUCUGAGUCUCUCUGCCUCUGGCACUCUCCUGUCUCUCCCUCUCCCUUUCUGUCUCUCCCUCUCCCUCUCUGUCGCUCCCUCUGCCUCUCUGUCUCUCCCUCUGCCUCUCUGUCUCCCUCUGCCUCUCUGUCUCUCCCUCUCCAUCUGUGUCUCUCCCUCUCCAUCUCUGUCUCUUCCUCUGCCUCUCUCUCUCUCCCUCUGCUUCUCUGUCUCUUCCUCUCUGUCUCUCCCUUUCCAUCUCUGUCUUUCCCUCUCCAUCUCUGUAUCUUCCUCUGCCCCUCUGUCUCUCCCUCUGCCUCUCUGUCUCUCCCUCUCCAUCUCUGUCUCUCCCUCUACAUCUGUCUCUUCUUUUCCAUCUGUCUCUCCCUCUCCAUCUCUGCCUCUCUCUCUUCCCUUCCCCUUUUUCUGUGUCGCGCACUCUCUUCUCUGCCUCUCCCUGCCUUUCUCUCUGUCCCUGUUCUCUCCCCGCGUCUCUCCCUCUUUCUCUCCAGCUCUCCCCCCUCCCUGCCCGCCCCGGCCCGGUUUGCUGCAGUCUCCUGGCGCACGGAUAACCUUGCUGCCGCCGCUCCUCCAGCUCUUCCCCACCCCCCUAUCCCCGGCCCGGGCCAGGGCCAGAAGGGGGCGGGGCAGCGAGCCUCGGGUUUUGGGGUGGGGGGGAAUGAGGCGGGAUCUGGGGCAGGACUGAGGGCGGGGGGGAGUCUAGGGGCGUGGGUUCUUGCAGAAGCUAGGAUGUGAGGUCCCAAGAGGAGGAGGGGGAGUUCUCCAGGACCCCGGAAAGGGUGGGGACAUGGGCGUGAGAGAGGUCCUCGCUGUGGGGAAGGCAGGCCCGGGAGGGAGCCAGGCCUCCGAAAAGCCAAGGCUGGGAGGCUGGACUGAGCGCCCCGUGCCCGCCCCCCAGGUGUGCGCUCGGGCGGCCCUCGGUCCCGGCGCGCUCUGGGCCGCGGCCUGGGGCGUCCUGCUGCUCACAGCCCCUGCGGGGGCGCAGCGUGGCCGGAAGAAGGUCGUGCACGUGCUGGAGGGUGAGUCGGGCUCGGUAGUGGUACAGACAGCGCCUGGGCAGGUGGUAAGCCACCGUGGUGGCACCAUCGUCUUGCCCUGCCGCUACCACUAUGAGGCAGCCGCCCACGGUCACGACGGCGUCCGGCUCAAGUGGACAAAGGUGGUGGACCCGCUGGCCUUCACCGACGUCUUCGUGGCACUAGGCCCCCAGCACCGGGCAUUCGGCAGCUACCGUGGGCGGGCUGAGCUGCAGGGCGACGGGCCUGGGGAUGCCUCCCUGGUCCUCCGCAACGUCACGCUGCAAGACUACGGGCGCUAUGAGUGCGAAGUCACCAAUGAGCUGGAAGAUGACGCUGGCAUGGUCAAGCUGGACCUGGAAGGCGUGGUCUUUCCCUACCACCCCCGUGGAGGCCGAUACAAGCUGACCUUCGCGGAGGCGCAGCGCGCGUGCGCCGAGCAGGACGGCAUCCUGGCAUCUGCAGAACAGCUGCACGCGGCCUGGCGCGACGGCCUGGACUGGUGCAACGCGGGCUGGUUGCGCGACGGCUCAGUGCAAUACCCCGUGAACCGGCCCCGGGAGCCCUGCGGCGGCCUGGGGGGGACCGGGAGUGCAGGGGGCGGCGGUGAUGCCAACGGGGGCCUGCGCAACUACGGGUAUCGCCAUAACGCCGAGGAACGCUACGACGCCUUCUGCUUCACGUCCAACCUGCCGGGGCGCGUGUUCUUCCUGAAGCCGCUGCGACCUGUACCCUUCUCCGGAGCUGCGCGCGCGUGUGCUGCGCGUGGCGCGGCCGUGGCCAAGGUGGGGCAGCUGUUCGCCGCGUGGAAGCUGCAGCUGCUAGACCGCUGCACCGCGGGUUGGCUGGCCGAUGGCAGUGCGCGCUACCCCAUCGUGAACCCGCGAGCGCGCUGCGGAGGCCGCAGGCCUGGUGUGCGCAGCCUCGGCUUCCCGGACGCCACCCGACGGCUCUUCGGCGUCUACUGCUACCGCGCUCCAGGAGCACCGGACCCGGCACCUGGCGGCUGGGGCUGGGGCUGGGCGGGCGGCGGCGGCUGGGCAGGGGGCGCGCGCGAUCCUGCUGCCUGGACCCCUCUGCACGUCUAGGCUGGGAGUAGGCGGACAGCCAGGGCGCUUGACCACUGGUCUAGAGCCCUGUGGUCCCCUGGAGCCUGGCCACGCCCUUGAAGCCCUGGACACUGGCCACAUUCCCUGUGGUCCCUUACAAACUAACUGUGCCCCUGGGGUCCCUGAAGACUGGCUAGUCCUGGCAGAACAGUACUUUGGAGUUCCCUGGAGCCUGGCCAGCCCUCACCUCUUCUGGAUAGAGGAUUCCCCCAACUCCCCAACUUUCUCCAUGAGGGUCACGCCCCCUGAGGACCUCAGGAGGCCAGCAGAACCCGCAGGCUCCUGAAGACUGGCCACGCCUCCUGAGACCACUUGGAAACAGACCAACUGCCCCCGUGGUCGCCUGGUGGCUGGACCCCCGGGAUUGACUAGAGACCGGCCGUACACCUUCUGCAUCUCACUGGAGACUGAACACUAGUCCCUUGCGGUCACGUGGGACACUGGGCGCCUCCUCCUCCCCCUCCUCCUCACCUGGAGAGACUACAGGAACUUCAGGGUCACUCCCCGUGGUCACAUGGAGGUUGUGGGCCGAGGCGCUUAUUUUCCCUUAUGGUGACCUGAGUCCUGGAGACUCCCAUUCUCCCCCUCUCCCUGAGAGUCCCCUGCAGUUUCUGGGUAACAGGGCACACCCCUCUAGUUUCAUGGGCGAGCACCCCCAUCUGCCACCUCAGACUGACACACAGCCAGCUGGCUCACUUACUGGGGGCCACGUCCCACCCCUCAGAUAUUUCUUUGAAGGGAGAGCAAACCCACCCUGUCCUCUGACGUCCCUUUCCCAACUGUCACCAAACAGACCAUCUUCCCAGGCCUGGGGACCGGUAAGAUCCAUGUCACUAGUUAUGCAGAGCAGUUGCCUUGGGUCCCACUGUCACCAAGGCAACCAGUCCUGCUGCUACCUGUCACCUAGAGUCACACACCCCUUCCCUCAUCAGGCACACCCAUGAAGACAGUGCCUCCCUCCUCCAGCUGUAACCAUGGAUACCACACAUUUCUCAUCUCAUUGGCCCCCACCCCAGAGACCUCCACCUCAACUUCUGGCUGUCCCUACCCUGACUCACCGCCAUGGAGAUCACCCUCCCCGAAGCUGUCGCCAGGGUGACCCAACAUCCAGUUCUCCGGCUCUCACCAUGGAAACAAACUGUCCCUGUCCCCAGGCCCACUCCAGUUCCAGACCACCCUCCAUGCUCCACCCCCAGGCGGUUUGGACCCCACCACUGUUGCCAUGGUGACCAAACUCUGGAGUCCGAGGUAACAGAACACCUGUCCCCCUAGGCUUUUCCUUGUGGACAACGGGGCCCUGUUCACCAAGCUGUUGCCAUAGAGACUGUCAACGUUGUCCUCAUGACAACCAGACUUCCAGUUCUCAGGAACUUCUCAUUGUGGGCCAGAAGUCCUGGGUGCCUCCUACUAGGGCUACCCUACUGCACCCCAUCAGGGGCCUGAUGGCUGCCCCUUCCCCAGACAGGGCUGGACUUCUGGAGCUGCUAAGCCACCCUCCGUUUGCACGUUAACUCUAUGCCGGAUAGCAGCUGUGCACGAGACAAUCUUGCAACACCCGGGCAUGUUUGUCGUCGUCCUACAAAUGAGGAAACCGAGCCUAUGGCGUGCCCUGGUCUGUUGAGAUAUGCAAGCACUGAGCUCCUCUUUUGUCCUCUGAGACCCCAUCUCCAUUCUCACCCAGUUCCUCUCUCCUUCCCUGACCCCCACCCACAUUUCCCUCCUUAGAGAUCCAGGAGGGAUGGAAUGUUCUUUAAAAUUCAACACCCACCAGGCUCUAAGCGGCGAUCUGUGCUAAGAGGUCAGGACCCAGCCGAAGUCCUCGGCGUUGACAGGCAGCUGGGGGGACAUGAUCCAUGGACAAGGCCAUCCCGGCCGUGGGAGACCCCAGUCCCGAAGUCUUGCCUGCAGGAGUACUGGGGUCCCCCUGGGGCCCUCUUUACUGUCACGUCAUCUCUAGGAAACCUAUCUCUGAGUUUUGGGACCAGGUCGGUUUGGGUUUGAAUUCUGCCUCUUCUUGCUCACUGUGUGACCAAGUGACAAACUCCUUCUGAACCUGUGUUCUCCCACUGUACCAGGGCUGUUCUGUGGUCCCCGUGAGUGCCAAGCAUACAGUAGGGGCUCAAUAAAUCCUUGUUUCUUUUGAUGAAUGAGAAAAUGAGGCAGCCAGUGGGUAAUUCCUGUAUAAAUGCACUUUGGUAGAUAAGAUGUUACAAGCUUGGGGGGCUUGGGGUUUUUUUUGUUUUGUUUUUUUGAGAUGGAGUCCUGCCCUGUCGCCCAGGCUGGAGUGCAGUCGUGCAAUCUUGGCUCACUGCAACCUCUGCCUCCCGGGUUCAAGUGAUUCUCCUGCCUCAGCCUCCCGAGUAGCUGGGAUUACAGGUGCCUGCCACCACACCCGGCUAAUUUUUGUAUUUUUAGUAGAGACAGGGUUUCACCAUGUUGGCCAGGCUGGUCUUGAACUCCUGACCUCAGGUGAUCUACCCACCUCGGCCUCCCAAAGUGUUGGGGUUACAGGUGUGAGCCACUGCGCCUGGCCGGGCUUGAUUUUUAUUCUCUUUGGAAGUGGGGUCCUUCAUUCCUCCCCCACCUCCCCAAUCUCUUGCUCCUCUUUCUUCCCCCAUCCUGUGCCCACUGUCUCCCUUUAGCCACCCACCAUGGGUCUGCUCCUUGUCAACUCUGUCCUGACUGGGUCAUUGACAAGAUCCAGGGCAUGAAAUUCGGGAAACUGGAAGGGGGGUUCCUGUACCAGGAAGGGAGAGACAUUACAAACUUUCCCUGACAUGAAUAUGUGGGCUGAGGGCAGGGGCUGAGGAAGCACUGGAAGUUUCUAGGAUACAACAAAGCAUGAAGAGAAAAAAUAGUGUAAGGUCCUGACCGUGCACAGUGGAUCAUGCCUAUAAUCCCAGCACUUUAAGAGACCAAGGUGGGAGGAUUGCUUGAGCCAGAAGGUCGAGGCUGCAGUGAGCCAUGAUUGUACCACUGCACUCCAGCUUGGGCGACGGAGUGAGACCCUGUCUCAAAAAAUAAAAAUAAGUAAAUCUCCUCUUCCUCAUUCUUCU